UUUCCUGUAGUAGUGAUCAUGGGUGGCUAUAUUGGCUCAUAGGUCUAUGACAUAAUCGCUGCCGUAACUCUUUCAUGUAGUAGUGAUUAUGGGUGGCUAUAUUAGCUCAUAGGUCUGUGAGAGGUGGAUAGCGGGUGGCUUCACCUCAGAUUCCCCAAGUAGACUAUUGUAGGGAGCAAUGGAGUUCUUACGACGAGGCAUUCUCUAUCUCAAAUUGGAUUGUUAGACUCUUCUUCUAGGCCAACUGUUGUGUCAAGGCUUUAGGGAGAGCUGAUGUGGC
rnacentral:lncRNA from 1 species